rnacentral:rRNA from 1 species
UACGUAGGUGACCAGCGUUGUCCGGAUUUACUGGGCGUAAAGAGCGCGCAGGCGGUCGUUCAAGUCGAGUGUGAAAGCCCCCGGCUCAACUGGGGAGGGUCAUUCGAUACUGAUCGACUCGAAGGCAGGAGAGGGAAGCGGAAUUCCCGGUGUAGUGGUGAAAUGCGUAGAUAUCGGGAGGAACACCAGUGGCGAAGGCGGCUUCCUGGGCCAGCACUGACGCUCAUGCACGAAAGCGUGGGGAGCAAACAGG